UGAGGUCACUGUGAGGGGGUUGCACCUACCGUCGCUAGGGGCGUGGCUACACUGCGGGGGCGGGGCCUAGGUGGCUGCCGCGGAGUCUUCGCUCUGCCUGCCUGAGAUCAAAGCUGGGGGUUUGUCCCACGGGCGGCUCUUAGGCAGGCCCAGCUCAGCCAGGCCUGCAGUGCCCACCCCUGGUACCCCCUUACUGCGCAGGCAGGGGUCAAGAUUUGCCAGCCCUGCAGCCCCAAACAGCUCCUAACAAACAGUGGGAAAGGCUCACAGGGACACAAGGGGCAGUCCCUCUCCUGCAGCUAGGCUGCUUGCACCAUGUGCUGGGCCAGGUGCAACCACCUGCCCCGCUCCUCCGGCCCAGGAGAAGUCAUUGCUGGUUUUCAGCCGGUGGAUUGGUGUGAACUUGUAUCCUUCCUAGGCUCAAGCCAGCUGAAAGUUCUGCCUGCAUCUCACAUGCCAUCAGCUUUUCUUCACAAUCAGAAGGGCUAGAAAUAUAUAUAUUUUUAACCCAGCUGAAAUGAACACAUAAUCACAAGAUUCCAGGAGCUGGAGCUUUAAGAAAAACACACACCAACAUUGUGAGACUUGGGAUAAAAUCCAGCAGGGACACUGUACUUGGGGUGAGAGGCUGAAUGUGAGGAAAUGCCCGGCUGUGCAGCCAAAGCAGCGGAGGGCCUGUAAACCAGUUCCCCGCCCUGUCACUGGAGCCAUUGCCUGUACUUCAUCAUCACCCCACUAUGAGGAUUUGGGGAAG